rnacentral:rRNA from 1 species
UACAGAGGUGGCAAGCGUUGUUCGGAUUUAUUGGGCGUAAAGGGUCCGUAGGCGGUUUGGAAAGUCAGAUGUGAAAUCCCACAGCUCAACUGUGGAACUGCAUUUGAAACUUCCAGACUAGAGUAUGAGAGGGGUAAGGGGAAUUCCCGGUGUAAGGGUGAAAUCUGCAGAGAUCGGGAGGAACACCAGUCGCGAAGGCGCCUUACUGGCUCAUUACUGACGCUCAGGGACGAAAGCUAGGGGAGCAAACGGG